CCUACGGGAGGCAGCAGUAGGGAAUCUUUCACCAUGGGCGAAAGCCUGAUGGAGCAACGCCGCGUGCAGGAUGAAGGCCUUCGGGUUGUAAACUGCUUUUAUAAGCGAGAAAUAUGAUGGUAACUUAUGAAUAAGGAUCGGCUAACUACGUGCCAGCAGCCGCGGUCAUACGUAGGAUCCGAGCAUUAGCCGGAGUGACUGGGUGUAAAGAGUUGCGUAGGUGGCAUAAUAAGUAGCGAGUGAAAUCUGGUGGCUCAACCAUUCAGACUAUUAGCUAAACUGUUAAGCUCGAGACCGUUAGGGGUAACUGGAAUUUCUAGUGUAGGAGUGAAAUCCGUAGAUAGUAGAAGGAACACCAAUAGCGUAGGCAGGUUGCUGGGACGGUUCUGACACUAAGGCACGAAAGCGUAGGGAGCAAACGGGAUUAGAUACCCGUGUAGUC
rnacentral:rRNA from 1 species